rnacentral:rRNA from 1 species
GGCAUACGAUGGAUCCGCGUCCGAUUAGCCAGUUGGCGGGGUAGAAGCCCACCAAAGCGACGAUCGGUAGCCGGCCUGAGAGGGCGGACGGCCACAUUGGGACUGAGACACGGCCCAAACUCCUACGGGAGGCAGCAGUGGGGAAUAUUGCACAAUGGGGGGAACCCUGAUGCAGCGACGCCGCGUGGGUGAAGGAGUACUUCGGUACGUAAAGCCCUAUCAGCAGGAAAGAAAAUGACGGUACCUGACUAAGAAGCCCCGGCUAACUACGUGCCAGCAGCCGCGGUAAUACGUAGGGGGCAAGCGUUAUCCGGAUUUACUGGGUGUAAAGGGAGCGUAGACGGCAGUGCAAGUCCGGAGUGAAAGCCCGGGGCUCAACCCUGGGACUGCUCUGGAAACUGUAAAGCUGGAGUGCGGGAGGGGCAGGCGGAAUUCCUGGUGUAGCGGUGAAAUGCGUAGAUAUCAGGAGGAACACCGGCGGCGAAGGCGGCCUGCUGGACCGUAACUGACGUUGAGGCUCGAAAGCGUGGGGAGCAAACAGGAUUAGAUACCCUGGUAGUCCACGCCGUAAACGAUGAUUACUAGGUGUCGCGGAACGAAGUUCUGCGGUGCCGUCGCAAACGC